CCGGUUUAACAGUUAGUUUACGCUCUAUUAUUGAAUGCAAAAAAACCCCCAGCAGGAAAUUCACUAUCCCAUGAAAAAAUAGCUUUCUGCGUAUUCUGCAUAAAAAUGAAUAUAGAAAAAUUGAAACAAAUAGAGAAUAAUCGUAUAAACGCAAGGAAGAUCUUACUAAAUAAAAGCGAUACUAUAAACUUUUCUCAUGUUCCUGGAUUUAUAAUUGAUUCUUUUUUUGGAAAAAAAAGUUAUAAGGCGCAAUUAAUAGUUUGUGUUUUUGCUUUCGUUAAUGGAAUCAGCGAGUCGCAACUCUUUCAACUAAUACGAUGGAUACCGUUCACAAAAACUCACUACAAAAAAAUAUCAGAUUUACUCUUAUGGCUUGAAAAUUCUCCAAACGCUCACAAGUACUAUAGCUAUAAUGUUAUACUUAAUCAAAUAGUUUUUUGUAACGGAGACUUACGAAAAUAUGGAGAAA